UUUUAAUUAAAGGUUCUGCCGAGAGAUUGAUGAGAGUUGAGAAGCGAGAGAGAAUGAGAUUGAGAGUUGAGAUGCGAGAGAGAUCCAAAGGUUGCCUGGAGCGUCCACUGCUGGCAUCGCACUUGCUGCCGUCGAUUGCCGCUGCUCGUUUGUCUUCCCCGUCUUCAGAGGCAUUGGGCAGCUACUUGGUUGAUUCUUUUGUUUAGCUACUGCUGGAGUUCUUUUGAGUUGUGGUUAAACAACUUCAUAAUUGUUGUAGUUGCAUGCCCUGCUGCAUCUGAUCAUGCUCGCAAUUACCUUAAUGAAGUGCAACAGGGACAAUACUUUUACACAAUUACAAAUGGCGUGACUAAGGAGGAGUGUGAAGACACUACAUAUGUUGUUUUUUU